ACCAAAAGUGGGGUUACCCCUUUUGUUUUCUUCCUUUUCAUUAUCAAAUAAGAAAUUAAGACAAAGCCUUAAGAGAAAAUAUUAGGCGGCAGCUGGAGUAUUAGUACACGACUUCUUAUCCUUCUCUUGGUAUUCAAGAAUUCACUAGAUGAAGGGAGAAAAUAAUUCUUAUGAUACUUUUGAAAUAAUCUUUAAGAGGUGACUUCAAUAACCUAAAGUUGGAGUUGAAUUUUAAAAGCUAGUGAAUUGCGUAUCGGAUAGCAGGAAAUAGUGGUUGGAAGGUUAAAAGCUUCAAUAUUAUGGGCUGAAUUACUUGAGGCUCGAAUUACUAUCGUAGCUAAUAAAGUAUUAAGGUAUACAACCUAAAGAAGAACCUUCUUUGUUUAUGGCUAUGGGUGAUGUGAACAAUUACAUCAAAGCAUAUAUAACCAUUAUGCUGAUUUACUUGAUGAUGUCGUACCAGCAUAUAUCACUUUAAUUCCCGCUCCCCAAGCUUUCGAGGAGUCAUAAUCUUCUAAAAGACAAGCACAUAGUAGUUCUCCUGACUACUUUUUUGAUUUAAAUGCUUGGGACAAGGUGCCGAUUUCAUCCCACAGAACACUUUCUCGAGAACAGCUUAAGUAUUUUCUUCGACAGCCGAUAGAGGAUAGUAGAGCAAGUAUCAAUAUGUUGGAUUGGUGGAAGAAUAAUGAAAGACAAUAUCUUAUACUUUCAAGAUUAGUUAGAGAUAUAUUGAAUGUUCUAUUGUUAAUCGUUGCAUUAGAGAGCGCUUUUAGUCAGGGACGGCAGCAGCUUAGAGACAACCGACACUCAUUGGAAGGCAAUGCUAUGAAUGUUCUAGUUUGCCUUAGAGAUUGAAUUAGAGCGGAACGAAGAAAUCAAGGAAUGGAGGUGGAGCCGGCAGACUAACAGAAUCUUAAAGAAAUUAUGACUUCAAGGGAGAACUCAACACAAUCAAGUCCAAUGCAUGACUUUGGAUUUGGCCCAAUUGAUUUUGACUAUCCUAUGGCAGUUCCCGUUAAUGUUAACAUGAAUGAGUUGG